rnacentral:rRNA from 1 species
AUUGAACGCUGGCGGCAUGCCUAACACAUGCAAGUCGAACGGCAGCACGGGGCUUUGCACCGGGUCGCGAGUGGCGAACGGGUGAGUAAUACAUGAGUACCCGUCCUGUAGCGGGGGAUAGCCCGGAGAAAGCCGGAGCUAUACCCCAAUCGAUGCUCGGGCGAAAGCGGGGGACUUGGGACCCUCGCGCUGUUGGGGUGGCAGAUGCGUGAUGAGCUAGUGGGGGGGGUAAAGGCCUACCACGGCGACGAUCGGUAGCUGCUCUGAGAGGACGACCAGCCGCACGGGGAGUGAGACACGGCCCAGACGCCUACGGGAGGCAGCAGUGGGGAAUUUUGGGCAAUGGGCGAAAGCCUGAUCCAGCGAGGCCGCGUGUGUGAAGAAGGCCUUCGGGUUGUAAAGCACGUUUGGGGGGGAGGAAGGGCUUUGGCCUAAGACGGUGGGGGGGUGACGGUAACGGAAGAAGAAGCACCGGCUAACUACGUG